GCUAUGCCAGGAUGUCGGUCUCGGUGUC
rnacentral:piRNA from 1 species